UUGACGGGACCGCACAAGCGUGGAUGAUGUGAUUAAUUCGAUGCAACGCGUAAAACCUUACCUACCCUUGACAUGUCCGGAAUCCCGAAGAGAUUUGGGAGUGCUCGCAAGAGAACCGGAACACAGGUGCUGCAUGGCUGUCGUCAGCUCGUGUCGUGAGAUGUUGGGUUAAGUCCCGCAACGAGCGCAACCCUUGUCAUUAGUUGCCAUCAUUUGGUUGGGCACUCUAAUGAGACUGCCGGUGACAAACCGGAGGAAGGUGGGGAUGACGCCAAGUCCUCAUGGCCCUUAUGGGUAGGGCUUCACACGUCAUACAAUGGUCGGUACAGAGGGUUGCCAACCCGCGAGGGGGAGCUAAUCCCACAAAGCCGAUCGUAGUCCGGAUCGCAGUCUGCAACUCGACUACGUGAAGUCGGAAUCGCUAGUAAUCGCGGAUCAGCAUGCUGCGGUGAAUACGUUCCCGGGUCUU
rnacentral:rRNA from 1 species